CUUGUUAGUGCCAGAAUUUAUGGGUAUGGUUUAGGUCCAUGUUAUAGGGUUUCAGACCUUCUACAAGA
rnacentral:tRNA from 1 species